rnacentral:rRNA from 1 species
GACGAACGCUGGCGGCGUGCUUAACACAUGCAAGUCGAACGGAAAGGCCCUGCUUUUGUGGGGUGCUCGAGUGGCGAACGGGUGAGUAACACGUGAGUAACCUGCCCUUGACUUUGGGAUAACUUCAGGAAACUGGGGCUAAUACCGGAUAGGAGCUCCUGCUGCAUGGUGGGGGUUGGAAAGUUUCGGCGGUUGGGGAUGGACUCGCGGCUUAUCAGCUUGUUGGUGGGGUAGUGGCUUACCAAGGCUUUGACGGGUAGCCGGCCUGAGAGGGUGACCGGCCACAUUGGGACUGAGAUACGGCCCAGACUCCUACGGGAGGCAGCAGUGGGGAAUAGUGCACAAUGGGCGGAAGCCUGAUGCAGCAACGCCGCGUGCGGGAUGACGGCCGUCGGGUUGUAAACCGCUUUCGCCUGUGACGAAGCGUGAGUGACGGUAAUGGGUAAAGAAGCACCGGCUAACUACGUG